UCUUCCAGACAAUCCAUGUCUUCCGGACAAUCCAUGUCUUCCAAGAAGCUCCAAGUCUUCCAGUAAAUCAAGUCUUCCAGCAAAUCCAGUCUUCCAGCAAUUACUGGUCUUCCACCAAAUCCAGAUCUUCCAGGAAAAUCCACGUCUUCCAGGAAAUCCAUGUCUUCCAAUAAUUUCAAGGUCUUCCAUCAAAUACAGAUCUUCCAGCUAAUCCAUGUCUUCCAGAAAAAUCUGUGUCUUCCACCAAAUCCAAGUCUUCCAGUAAAUCUAGUUCUUCCAGAAAAAUCUAGAUCUUCCAGUCAAUCAGUGUCUUCCAGAAAGAAAUCCAGGUCUUCCAGUCAAUCAGUGUCUUCCAGAAAGAAAUCCAGGUCUUCCAGUCAGUCAGUGUCUUCCAGAAAAAUCUACGUCUUCCACCAAAUCCAGGUCUUCCAGUCAAUCCACAUCUUCCGGAAAAAAUCCAGGUCUUCCAGCCAAUAUAUGUCUUCCUGAAGAUCCACGUCUUCCAGAAAAUCCAUGUCUUCCAGAAAAUCCAUGUCUUCCAGUAACCUCCCAGUCUUCCAGAAAAUCCACGUCUUCCCAACAAUCCAAGUCUUCCGGAUAAUUUGGGUCUUCCUGAAAAUCUACGUCUUCCAAAAAAGCCAUGUCUUCCAGAAAAUCCACAUCUUCCAAUGGCCUCCAGGUCUUCCAGACUAUCCAUGUCUUCCAGAAAAUCCUUGUCUUCCCUUAAAUCUAUAGCUUCCAAAAAAUCCGGGUCUUCCAGGAAAUCCGUGUCUUCCAGCAAGUCCACGUCUUCCAACAAAGCCAUGUCUUCCAGACUAUCCAUGUCUUCCAGAAAAUCCUUGUCUUCCCUCAAAUCCAUAGCUUCCGAAAAAUCCAGGUCUUCCAGGAAAUCCGUGUCUUCCAGCAAAUCCACGUCUUCCAACAAAGCCAUGUCUUCCAUCAAAUUAAUGUCUUCCAGCCUACUUGUGUCUUCCAACAAAGGUCUUCCAGCAUCUCCAGGGCUUCCAGCAUCUGCUCGUCUUCCAACAUCUCCACGUCUUCCAGCAUCUCUGUGUCUUCCAGCAUCUUCAUGUCUUCCAACAACUACCCAGUCUUCCAUCAACUGGCUCAAUAUCCAUGUCUUCCAACGUCUCCAGUGUGCUGAUCUUCUGACAUUCAGGUCUUCCAGUGUCUGCAAUAUCCAG
rnacentral:lncRNA from 1 species